UCCUGUAGGUACAACUGUGGCUACAACGUGGGCAGCUGCUCCUGCACAAGUUCCUGUCAACGCUAUGGAAACUGCUGUCAUGACUACAACGAUUACUGCUACAGUACAACAACAGCAGAACCAGCCACAACAACGAACAUAACGGAUAUACCGGAUAUACGACUAGUUGGGGGCAACAGCUCCUGUUCUGGGAGAGUGGAGGUACAGGUCCAUGGCACCUGGGGCACUGUGUGCGAUGAUAGAUGGAACAUACCUGAUGCUGAAGUGGUUUGCAGACAGGUGGGCUGUGGACCAGCCCUGAGCGCUCUUUCCAGUGCUCAUUUUGGACAGGGCAGUGGACCGAUCUGGCUGGAUGAUGUCAGCUGCACUGGCAAUGAGUCGUCUCUCUCUCAGUGCUCACAUAGAGGCCAUGGCAACCAUAACUGUGGCCACCAUGAAGAUGCUGGGGUAGUCUGUCAAGCCGACCAUACCUCCUGUAGGUACAACUGUGGCUACAACUUUGGCAGCUGCUCCUGCACAAGUUCCUGUCAGCGCUAUGGAAACUGCUGUCGUGACUACAACGAUUACUGCUACAGUACAACAACAGCAGAACCAGCCACAACAAGUAAUACAUAGUCCUUUCAGAGUGAUCCCAUAACAUAUCACAUCAGUACAAUGGCUAUAUAUCUGCAGUUCCACAUGUUGCCAUUCUUCCUUAC